CCAGUCAUCACUUAGCUUAUUUCACUUGACAACUGGACGUUUUCUGCUUGCUCCUCCAGAUUUAAUCUCCAUCCUCCUCCACCCUAAUCUGUACUCUGGCCUUGAUCUUCUUUCAGGAUCCACAGAAAACUACCACUGGCACAUGGGGGAGUUGAUGGUGAUAAAUUCCAAGGUGGAGAAGAUGUUGAUAUCAGUCCUAUGUCAUGGAUGAGGAAACUGAAGUUGACGUUUGUCACUUGCUGAAGGUCACGUGACCAGAAAUGCAAAGCCCGAUCUGACUCAUAUUCUCCUAAUUAUAAAUGUUACGUGCUUUCUAUUACCCA